GCUGGCGACCGGCGCACGGGUGAGUAACACGUAUCCAACCUGCCCUUUACUCGGGGAUAGCCUUUCGAAAGAAAGAUUAAUACCCGAUAGCAUAAUGAUUCCGCAUGGUUUCAUUAUUAAAGGAUUCCGGUAAAGGAUGGGGGAUGCGUUCCAUUAGGUUGUUGGUGAGGUAACGGCUCACCAAGCCUUCGAUGGAUAGGGGUUCUGAGAGGAAGGUCCCCCACAUUGGAACUGAGACACGGUCCAAACUCCUACGGGAGGCAGCAUG
rnacentral:rRNA from 1 species